rnacentral:lncRNA from 13 species
CCAGGCUGGAGUGCAGUGGUGAAUUCUUUGAGCUCGGGGCCUCACACACUCUUCCCUCCUGGGCCUUCCAUAGCUCUGGGAUUACAGAUAUGAGAUCUCGCCGUGUUGCCCAGGCUAAUUUUGAAUACCUGGGCUCAAACGAUCCACCUGCCUUGGCGUCCCAAAGUGCUGGGAUUAUAAGCAUGAGCUACCAACCCCAGCCUCUAUCAUCUUAAAAAACUACAUCAGGAAAGAACUGUGCACAGACCACACAGAAGGAGAACCUGGUACCUCACACUCAGCCUGUGUCCCUCAGAUGUCUGUGUGAACCUCCAUCUCAGAAGUCUGAGGUCUGCAACCCUCCACAGGCUCUUUCCAUGGUGGGCCCUGAACAAGUGGUGUGACAGCCAGUGGGGAGGUACAGGAGUCUUCAUGCCUUGCAGCUGGUUGAUGUCUUCCUCAGCCCGAAGCCCAUUCUGUGUGCUGGAAGGUAUGACAGUGGGGAUCGGCAGAGCAGCCAUAGCAUAUUUUCAGGUCCAGAGUUUAGUCUGGUGCCAACACCAUUGGCAAGGGCAGAUUGCAAAGAUUUCGCUCAGGAUCCAUUGCCUUUGGCCUGCGCCUCAUUCCUCUAGGGGCUCUUUUCUUCAGAAGCUUUAGGGGUAGUCCCCUCCCCCCUCCUCCCAAAGUAGCGAGAAAACAACUUUCUGCCAUCGCUGAUGGAAGCCGUGCCUGCUCUUGCAUGUCUCCCUUUGUAAGGUGGUUGUGCCUGGAAUUCUGCAUGACAAAUACCUGGAGGUGCCAUCAGGCUGCAGAUAUUGCUACCCCAAAUAUUCCUGGUUCCACUAGUUAGGAAAAUGAGGAGAAUGAAUGCUGGACAGGCAAGUGCAGUCUGCCUCAACUUCUUCAGUGAAGAAAGAAUAGUCGGGCGUGGUUGCUCAAGCCUGUGAUCCUAGGACUUUGGGAGGCCGAGGCGGGUGGAUCAUGAGGUCAAGAGCUCAAGACCAGCCUGGCCAACAUGGUAAAACCCUGUCUCUACUAAAAAUACAAAAAUUAGCUGGGCAUGGCAGUGUGCACCUGUAGUCUCAGCAACUCAGGAGGCUGAGGCAGGAGAAUCGCUUGAACCAGGGAGGUGGAGGUUGCAGUGAGCCGCGAUCGCGUCACUGCACUCCAGCCUGGAGACAGAGUGAGACUCCGUCUCAAAAAAAAAAAAAAGAAUAAAAGUCCAAACAAUUUCCUACCA